rnacentral:sRNA from 12 species
AUCAUCAACUAACGGGCAAACCUUUAACUAGCUUUUUUGAAGGCUAUCAUGCAGAACUGAAACUGCAUAAGUGAUGAUGCGUACAUAGAAGCAUUAUGCGCUAUAUAGUGUAGUGAUUAAGCUUUAUACUUUUUUCGCUUGCAUAUGUAAAGAGUAAACAAAUUCAGGCAAACGUCAGUAAGAAUAGCGCUCUUAUUGACGUUU